rnacentral:ncRNA from 2 species
AAAAAUUUUAAAGCGCCAGGAGUUAAGUAAUUAAGUGGAAACUCAGUAUAGCUGAGUAAAUUUCACUAAUCAAAUCAAAGAUUUGUUUUGUAAAGUAAACUCAGCACAGCUGAGUAAGUUCCAUUAACCAAAUCGAAGCUUUGGAAUGUCACUUAACUUGACGAGGAUGGGGAGAAUCGAACUCUUCGGCGGGUGCCCCACGGUAUCACACUACCGUAAACGGCUAACAAAACCAAAAAGUGAUUUUUGGGACAAUAUUAGUCUGGUGUAAAAA